rnacentral:tRNA from 1 species
GCCUGACCAGUAUGGUGGAUAUGACUCUCGGAUUGUAACCGAGCGGAUUCGGGUUCGAAUCCCGAGUAAGGGA